CCUACGGGGGGCAGCAGUCGAGAAUCAUUCACAAUGGGGGAAACCCUGAUGGUGCGACGCCGCGUGGGGGAAUGAAGGUCUUCGGAUUGUAAACCCCUGUCAUGUGGGAGCAAAUUAAAAAGAUAGUACCACAAGAGGAAGAGACGGCUAACUCUGUGCCAGCAGCCGCGGUAAUACAGAGGUCUCAAGCGUUGUUCGGAAUAACUGGGCGUAAAGCGUGCGUAGGCUGUUUCGUAAGUCGUGUGUGAAAGGCGCGGGCUCAACCCGCGGACGGCACAUGAUACUGCGAGACUAGAGUAAUGGAGGGGGAACCGGAAUUCUCGGUGUAGCAGUGAAAUGCGUAGAUAUCGAGAGGAACACUCGUGGCGAAGGCGGGUUACUGGACAUUAACUGACGCUGAGGCACGAAGGCCAGGGGAGCGAAAGGGAUUAGAUACCCCGGUAGUC
rnacentral:rRNA from 1 species